AUUUGCCGGUUCCGACUCCGAUGCCGUAUGGACCGCCGAUGAUGCCUAUGCCGGUGCUUGGCAUGGCCGCGCCUGGUCAUGCUCACAGUUAUAUGGGUAUGCCUGUCACUCAUCCGGGAACCGCACAGGGAUACCAUGGCUUCGAAACGCAUCCCUAUAAUAUGAUGCAUCAGAGAGAUUGGUCGGGAAGCAAAUACGCCUCGAUCGUGCCUUACCCUCAUCCUCAUGUACCUCCUAAUACUAAUGAUAAGUGAAUUGGGCUAAUUUUCAGGUGUAAUGUAAGAUGCAUGACACAGUAGUUACAGGAGGCAAAGAGAUGGCCAAACCUGAUCACAUUGAAAAACUUGUUCAUACCCUCUGAUGAAUUAUAGAAGUAUCGAGCAGCACCACCGAAUCAACCUUGUCGGUGGAAUGGAUGUGUGUAUUGUGAUUUUCUCCUUAGGAUGACAUGAAAGGUUAAUUUUCCUAUGGUGAAUGCCUGAUUGGUUCUCUUGAAUAUAAUAGCUUCAUCUGCAGAGUUCUUUUAUAAGUUGUUCUAAUUAGUUGAAUUCAUCCAACUUUUUUUUCUCUAUUGAUUGACGUCAACUUAUGAUUAGCAUGCCAUUUGCAGAUGUCACACUGGAAGGAAUUGCUUUCCAUAAGGUCUCUGAAAUAAACAGUGGGUGCACAGAUGCUGAUAGGCAACACGUACUCGUAAAAUUUCAUAUCAGUUAUAUUAUUAUGUUGUCUAUCAGGAAGUCAACAAUUGCCAAUUAUUGAAUACCUUUGAGAUAUUUAAACUGUAUCUCCAAGAAGAUUGAGAUUAUCUACUUCAUUCUAGUUUGUGCUUUAACUCACAUAAACUUGAAUCACAACAGAUUUAAUAUCUGAACCCCUCAUUUUUGUA